AAAUAUAAAAAAUAAAAAAUAAAUUAAAAAUAAAGAUUAAAUAUAGGCUUCGUUUGGGAUUGCGAGGAGAUUGCGUUAUAUGCGGUGAGAAAGGACGAUGGAAAAAUACUCUGUUUGUUUCCAUACAUAAUAUUGCGUUUCACAUAUUGCGGUUAGUCGGUUACGAUAUAUUUUCUACGGUUCCAUCGGAGAACACAGAAGCAUAUUCCUAUAUGCUUUUUCUCAACUCUAUUCUAUUUAAUAGCGUUAGAUCCACCUCAAUACCAAACUAAGCCUAAAUAUAGGUGAGCCCAAACUGAGACGGCACGCGGCUAGACUCGUGC
rnacentral:lncRNA from 1 species